rnacentral:rRNA from 1 species
UGCAAGUCGAGGGGUAGGGCAGUUCGUGGCUUAAGACCGGCGCACGGGUGCGUAAAUCCUCUGCAAUCUGCCUUCCCUCAGGGAUAGCCCAAUUAAAUUUGGAUUAACCCCUCAUAGCAACGAGACCCCGCGUCAGGAUAGGAUUAAAGUCACAACGGUGGAAGAUGAGGUGCGUCCCAUUAGCUAGUUGGUAAGGUAACGGCUUACCAAGGCUACGAUGGGUAUGGGUCCUGAGAGGGAGAUCCCCCACACUGGUACUGAGACACGGACCAGACUCCUACGGGAGGCAGCAGUGAGGAAUAUUGGUCAAUGGGCGCAAGCCUGAACCAGCCAUGCCGCGUGCUCUAUGACCGUCCUAUGGAUUGUAAACUGCUUUUGUACGGGAACAAACCCUC